GCUGGUGUAGCUCAGCUGGUAGAGCAGCUGAUUUGUAAUCAGCAGGUCGGGGGUUCAAGUCCCUUCACCAGCU
rnacentral:tRNA from 1 species